UACGGAGGGUGCGAGCGUUGUCCGGAAUCACUGGGCGUAAAGGGCGCGUAGGUGGCGCGGGCAGUCAACGGUGAAAGUUCGGGGCUCAACCCUGAAUCGGCCGUCGAUACUCCCGUGCUGGAGCACUGUAGAGGCCAAUGGAAUUCCGGGUGUAGCGGUGGAAUGCGUAGAGAUCCGGAAGAACACCGGUGGCGAAGGCGGUUAGCUGGGCAGUUGCUGACACUGAGGCGCGACAGCGUGGGGAGCAAACAGG
rnacentral:rRNA from 1 species